rnacentral:misc_RNA from 1 species
GUUUUUCUUUGUUUCACUUGGAGAAAUUGAGGCAAUCCUAGCUUUUCUUCACACCCUUUUGAAUCAAAGCACAGAGGUUUAGUGUUAACUUCCUGUUCAUUGUGAUUUCUCUGGCACUUAUCUUGUCUUAGCAUUGGAGUAGUUUUUGCCUUUGCCGAAGAUGAUUCUAACAGGUAGAUUCCGGCUGUAGAGCUAGGUUAGUAUAGCUGCUGUGAGGAUUGCAGUGAACAUGGAUAUUUGGGUUGUGGCUGCAGCUGCUGGUGCUGGUUAUGUAGCCCAGCAUUGGAAGAACCUCUUAAGAAGCCGGCAUGAUUUGUUAGAAUCAUCUCCUGGUAGUCCUAGUUUUGUACGAAAUGAUUCAUUAACGCGUAUGCAUCAAGUCUCGGAUAAGAAUUGUUCCUCUCCUGUGGAGACACCGAGAAAGAAACUAGAUGAGUGUGCUGCAGAAAGAUUGGCUUUCCA